AGUUCAGACAUGGGUACACGUUGACAGGCCGCCGGCCGUCGACUGGCAUGUUGUGACCAUUCCUGGUGCUGGUCUUGGUACUGUUCUUUCCUACCAUAACUUAUUGGAAGAGGGUGGCAUUCCUGCCUUGCAGCCUUUUCUCCAGUGAGGAGUGAACAGUGGGCACCUGAGAUCCUGGCCCACGCUACUAUGCUUUCAGGCUACAACCACUAGCACGGCUGACGAUGGCCCUUUCUGCGGAGACCGAGUCACACAUCUACCGAGCUCUGCGUACUGCUUCUGGCGCUGCCGCCCACCUUGUGGCCCUGGGCUUUACCAUCUUUGUGGCUGUGCUUGCCAGGCCUGGCUCCAGCCUGUUCUCCUGGCACCCGGUGCUUAUGUCUUUGGCUCACCAGGAAUCCUCCAUCAUCAAUGAGGACACAGAGCUGGGUGAUGCCUACGUGUUGAGAUCCUGGUCCCUCCACACACGCUCUACCAGCUGCUGCGUGAUGCCCGUGUCCAAGAUCAGGUUGUGCAGAAGGAAGUUGUUGCCUGGAACAGGAGGGGAGGGGUGGGGGUGGGGGCAUCUUCUUGCAGCUCCUUGCCCACCCUCACCCCCACCCUUAAGGCUCCACCAGGAGCCUCCUCCAUGACCUGGCCCUGGCCCAGGCCCAGCCCUUAGCUUGUGCCUGCUUAUUUCCACACCUGCCCGGCCUCUGGGUUCCUCUGGGCUGGCCCCAUGCUGCCUGGGCACUGCCCAGAGCCAGCUGCCCUGCCAGGCACUCACACUGCUUGGAGUCUGGAGUCACUUUCUCCAUGAGCUCAAUAAAGUUUUUCAGGAACUCGG
rnacentral:lncRNA from 1 species